rnacentral:rRNA from 1 species
UACAGAGGCCACGAGCGUUAGGCGGAAUCACUGGGCUUAAAGCGUGUGUAGGUGGAUGGCUAAGUACCUUGUGAAAUCCCACGGCUCAACCGUGGAACUGCUUGGUAUACUGGUCGUCUUGAGGCACUCAGGGGCGAGCGGAACAGAUGGUGGAGCGGUGAAAUGCGUAGAUAUCAGGAGGAACACCGGUGGCGAAGGCGGGUCUCUGGGCCGAUACUGACGCUGAGGAGCGAAAGCGUGGGGAGCGAACAGG